AGUGAACGCUGGCGGUAGGCCUAACACAUGCAAGUCGAACGGCAGCACAGUAAGAGCUUGCUCUUACGGGUGGCGAGUGGCGGACGGGUGAGGAAUACAUCGGAAUCUACUUUUUCGUGGGGGAUAACGUAGGGAAACUUACGCUAAUACCGCAUACGACCUACGGGUGAAAGCAGGGGAUCUUCGGACCUUGCGCGAUUGAAUGAGCCGAUGUCGGAUUAGCUAGUUGGCGGGGUAAAGGCCCGCCAAGGCGACGAUCCGUAGCUGGUCUGAGAGGAUGAUCAUCCACACUGGAACUGAGACACGGUCCAGACUCCUACGGGAGGCAGCAGUGGGGAAUAUUGGACAAUGGGCGCAAGCCUGAUCCAGCCAUCCCGCGUGGGUGAAGAAGGCCUUCGGGUUGUAAAGCCCUUUUGUUGGGAAAGAAAAGCAGCAGGUUAAUACCCCGCUGUUCUGACGGUACCCAAAGAAUAAGCACCGGCUAACUUCGUG
rnacentral:rRNA from 1 species